AGCAGCCGCGGUAAUUCCAGCUCCAAUAGCGUAUAUUAAAGUUGUUGCAGUUAAAAAGCUCGUAGUUGAAUUUCGGGAUCAAAGGAUCGGUCAUGCCUUGGUAUGUACUGGUUUUAUUGGUUCUCACCUUCUAAAGAACCAUAAUGUCAUUCAUUUGAUGUUAUGGGGAAUUAGGACUGUUACCUUGAAAAAAUUAGAGUGUUUAAAGCAGGCUUACGCUUGAAUACAUUAGCAUGGAAUAAUGAAAUAGGACAUCAGAUUCUAUUUUGUUGGUUUCUAGGAUCGAUGUAAUGAUUAAUAGGGAUAGUUGGGGGCAUUAGUAUUCAAUUGUCAGAGGUGAAAUUCUUGGAUUUAUUGAAGACUAACUACUGCGAAAGCAUUUGCCAAGGAUGUUUUCAUUAAUCAAGAACGAAAGUUAGGGGAUCGAAGACGAUCAGAUACCGUCGUAGUCUUAACCAUAAACUAUGCCGACUAGGGAUCGGAUGAUGUUAA
rnacentral:misc_RNA from 1 species